UACAGAGGGUGCAAGCGUUAAUCGGAUUUACUGGGCGUAAAGCGCGCGUAGGCGGCUAAUUAAGUCAAAUGUGAAAUCCCCGAGCUUAACUUGGGAAUUGCAUUCGAUACUGGUUAGCUAGAGUGUGGGAGAGGAUGGUAGAAUUCUAGGUGUAGCGGUGAAAUGCGUAGAGAUCUGGAGGAAUACCGAUGGCGAAGGCAGCCAUCUAGCCUAACACUGACGCUGAGGUGCGAAAGCAUGGGGAGCAAACAGGG
rnacentral:rRNA from 1 species